GGAGAGGUAUCGAAGUGGUCAUAACGGGGCUGACUCGAAAUCAGUUUGCGCGAUGAGCGCACGAGGGUUCGAAUCCCUCCCUCUCCGCCA
rnacentral:tRNA from 1 species